AUCAGGAGCAGAGCCAGCAGGACAUAAAUGUGUUGGGCUUUUCCUAAUCCUGCAGACAGCCCAACUCAAAAAAGAUGCUAAUAAUAUUCCCUCAACAUAUUCGGAAGGAAUCUACUUCCAGCAAUUGCAUAAACAUUGAUUUUCGCAACUGAAAUUUCAUCUUCAAUGAGUUCAUAGAAUGAACUGGGAUUUCUGCUUCACCAUCAAUGUAAAAGCUCCAAAGAUAGCAUAGAAUAUGAGACAAGAAUUCCAUGAAAAUUUCCUCUUUGAUGGGGAUAGUCUCAUUGUAGCUUCUGAAUCCAAAUAAAAUUCUGCUUAUAUAUUUUUUACCUUCUGAAUGCUACACUACAAGUAUUGCUGUCA